AAGUCGUAACAAGGUUUCCGUAGGUGAACCUGAACCUUCAUCUUGCUCGCGUGGCUCCAUAAAAAAGCACAAUCCCUGGUAAAUCAUUGUCGACCAGAUUUUGAGUCAGGGACCUCUGCCGAUGAGAGUUACGCUCGUAGCGACGCAAGCGACCUGGCACCCCCAAGCAAUCAGAGUUCUGAAAGCGUCUUUGAUUGUAAGGGUGGCGCAAAACACGAUCGUUGGAGGCGACACCCCUUAAUCACCACACUGUAACGCCGACAGGUCGCGAUAAUUCCGCUGACCACAAAAAACCGAACAACUGUUAACAAUGGAUAUCUUGGUUCUC
rnacentral:misc_RNA from 1 species